rnacentral:rRNA from 1 species
CCCUUAGAUGUUCUGGGCCGCACGCGCGCUACACUGAUGCAUUCAACGAGUCCAACCUUGACCGAGAGGUCCGGGUAAUCUUUGAAACUGCAUCGUGAUGGGGCUAGAUUAUUGCAAUUAUUAAUCUUCAACGAGGAAUGCCUAGUAAGCGUGAUUCAUCAAAUCGCGUUGAUUACGUCCCUGCCCUUUGUACACACCGCCCGUCGCUCCUACCGAUUGAGUGUGUUGGUGAGGAGUUUGGAUUGGCCUCGGAAGGUGGUUCGCCACCGUCCGUAGCUGAGAAGUUCUCCAAACCGCCCCACUUAGAGGAAGGAGGAGUCGUAACA